UACGUAGGGGGGCAAGCGUUGUCCGGAAUCAUUGGGCGUAAAGAGCGUGUAGGCGGCCUGGUAAGUCCGCUGUGAAAGUCCAGGGCUCAACCCUGGAAUGCCGGUGGAAACUGUCAGGCUCGAGUCCGGAAGAGGCGAGUGGAAUUCCUAGUGUAGCGGUGAAAUGCGCAGAUAUCAGGAGGAACACCAAUGGCGAAGGCAGCUCGCUGGGACGGUACUGACGCUGAGACGCGAAAGCGUGGGGAGCAAACAGG
rnacentral:rRNA from 1 species